GCAGCCGUGACCCUUCUGGAGUGCGGGGGGGACAUCCAGCCCCCUGGGCGGUCCCUGCGCCUCCUCUGCCGAGGGUCCGGGUUCAGUUUUGGGGAUUAUGGAAUGUACUGGAUCCGCCAGAGACCCGGGCAGGGGCUGGAAUACGUCGCAGGCAUCUACUACAAUGGUGCCAACACCUACUACGCGCCAUCAGUCAAGGGCCAGUUCACGAUCUCCAGGGACAACGGGCAGAGCUCGGUGACGCUGACCAUGAGCAACCUCAAGGGCGAGGAUUCCGGAUCCUCUUUCUGUGCCAAGGGUGCUGAUAGUGGUUACCAAAAUCAGGCUGCUGCUUAUCGUAGACCAGGGCAGGGGCUGGAAUACAUCGCGGGGAUCAAGAGCAACGGUGGUGGCAUUGGCUACUCAGAUUCGGUCAAGGGUCGGUUUGAUUUUGACAAAUUUGACCUGUUCUGGAUCCGGCAGAGACCCGGGAAGGGGCUGGAAUUCAUCGCCAGCAUCUAG